rnacentral:rRNA from 1 species
AGUGAACGCUGGCGGUAGGCCUAACACAUGCAAGUCGAACGGCAGCACAGGAGAGCUUGCUCUCUGGGUGGCGAGUGGCGGACGGGUGAGGAAUACAUCGGAAUCUACCUUUUCGUGGGGGAUAACGUAGGGAAACUUACGCUAAUACCGCAUACGACCUACGGGUGAAAGUGGGGGACCGCAAGGCCUCACGCGAUUAGAUGAGCCGAUGUCCGAUUAGCUAGUUGGCGGGGUAAUGGCCCACCAGGGCGACGAUCCGUAGCUGGUCUGAGAGGACGGUCAGCCACACUGGAACUGAGACACGGGCCAGACUCCUACGGGAGGCAGCAGUGGGGAAUAUUGGACAAUGGGGGAAACCCUGAUCCAGCGACGCCGCGUGGGUGAAGAAGGCCUGCGGGUUGUAAAGCCCUUUCGGUAGGGACGAAAGCUCUCGGCCUAACACGUCGGGAGGUUGACUUAACCUACAAAAGAAGCACCGGCUAACUCUGUGCCAGCCGCCGCAGUAACAC